CAUACCAUGCUGAAUAUACCGGUUCUCGUUAGAUCACCGAAGUCAAGCAUCAUUGGGCGCGGUCAGUACUUGGGUGGGUGACCACCUGGGAACACUGUGUGCUGUU